GCCCCUUUAAGCCACCAUCUCUCCUGGUUAGAAGUUCUCGGACCAUGGGUACGUGGAAAACGUCCCAGAGUGAGAGUGACAUACUCUGAGUUCCCUAGUACUGGCUUUGCCAUCGAUUGUGUGACUCAUUCUCUCUGAUGUUCAAGCUGUGAGAACCAAAUUUGAAAUGAUGGAUGUGCUCUAUUACAGUUAUUAAUAAGAGGAGAAGUUAAACUUUGCAGCCUGUAGGGUUUGCUUCCUCUAUAAGCCUGGCUAUCUGUACAGAAGCUGAAGGUUGCUUCUUUGGGCUUAUGGUCUAGGAUCUAGAGCAGAGUGCAGAGACUGUGGUGGAGCCAGGGUGAGCCCUAUUCCACCUAAGUUUUCCUCCCCUCUAAGUCUGAAUACUGGCAGUGGUGAGUCAGGUGGUUCUACAGGCUCCUUUCACUCUCCCAUUCAUGAGGACCCCACACCACCUUUACCUCUAUGCCACCUUUCCUCUUUCGUUGGAUGCGCCACCCCCCUUGUUGUUUUUCUUGCCAGCCACCACUCCACUUAGCUGUUAAACAGCUUUGACCUUGAUGACAUGGAGAUGGAUGAGGACAAGGAUGAGGACAAGGCCACUUGGCACCUUUCGCCACUUUUGCUUCUGUGACCUGAGGUGUCCAAGAAGAAACCCUGGUGUUAGGAAGACUUCUAAGAAGGUUCCAAUGAUCCCUGCCUCCUGAUAGUCACACCCUUGUAGUCUCCUGGCUUUGAUGAAGCAAGCUGCCAUGUUGGAGAGGCCCACAUGACAAGGAAGUGAGGUGGCCUCCAGCCAACUCCAGCCCACAGCCAGCCAGGAAUUGAGGAUCUCAGUCCAACAGGCCUUGAGGAACUGCCAGCGUCCUGCCAACAACUAUAUGAGUGAGC